rnacentral:tRNA from 1 species
GCCGGGGUGGUGGAAUCGGUAGACACGAAGGACUUAAAAUCCUUUGCCUAUUAAAAAAGCGUGCGGGUUCAAGUCCCGCCCUCGGCAC